UGAGUGGGGGAGGGGCAGAGAGACAGACAGGGAGACACAGAAUCUGAAGCAGGCUCUAGGCUCUGAGCUGUCAGCACAGAGCCCAAUGUGGGACUUGAACUCAGAGCUGUGAGAUCAUGACCUGAGCUGAAGUUGGACACUUAACCAACUGAGCCACCCAGGUGCCCCGAAAUGAUACAUAUUUUAAAAAUACACCCAGUGCUAGAAAACAAGAAAGGGUAUCCUUGGUAGAUCAGAAACUGAGGAAUCCCUGAAGAAUGGAAAGUAGUCAAGAUCUGAUGAAGGAAGCCACAUCUCCAAAUGCUGCUGUAGGAUUCCUAAAAAAUGGGGUCUUGGUCUCAAAAUAGCAAAUAUGGGGCAGAAAGAAGCCUGUAGUAAAUAACAAGGCAAGUAGUUGGGGUUACCAGGAAGAUGAUUCCCUCCACACCUCUACAUUUGACUCCCUCAGGGUAAGCAGUGAGUAAUAGAGAUCACUUGGAUGUUUUGGUCAGAGAGGCAAACUAGUGCUCCAGAUGGCCAGCAUAACCCAGGAGAAGGAUUUCUACUUUUGUACUCCCUACUGGCUCACUAUACCAACAGCAAGCAUCUUCCCUCACUUAUGUUGGAAAAGUUGAAGUAAAACCUGCCCCAUAGUACAUCCUAUUCUUUGCCUCUGACCAAGCUAACAUGGAUUUUCUGGAUUUAACAUGGAUUUUACACAAAAAUGGGCGUGUAUGUAGGAUUCACCAAAAAUGUGUAGAAAAACAAUAAUAUGAAAAAGAGGUGCUGACUGCAAUUAAAAAAAGUUCACACCCAAGGAAAUGUUAGUAGUCCAAGAAAAAUGAGACUUUUCUAGAGAUAUUGGAAUAAGUAAUGAUAUUGGAUUGGUAAAAAAAAAAAUCAAAGACUUUGGAAACUAAAAAUGUUCAUAACAAAAUUUAAAAACCAACAAAUGGGCAGGAUCAUCAGAGUGGACAUAACUGAAGAGUAAAUUAGUGAACUGGAAGAUAAAACUGAGGAAUUCUCUUAUGUGGCCUAAAAGAUCAUGAGAUAAAAAUAUGGAAAGAAAAGUUGAGAUUUGGAGAACAUAUUCAGAUAUUUUAAUAUCUGUCUAUAAGAAGUUUCAGAAGGAUAGGAUGAGUGGAAUGAAGAAAACAGAAAAGAAACAAUACAGUAAAAUUUACCAGGAGGUAUAAAAUAAUCAGUAUAACAUAAAAGUCUGAAGAUUCAAAGACGAUGAAUGAGAAAAUACCUGUAACUAGAUACAUCACAAUAAUAAGGCUAAAGGAAAACUAUUUAGAAAAUAGUGGGUGGGGUGCCUGGCUGGCUCAGUCAGGAAAGUGUGUGACUUUUGAUCUUGAGAUCAUGAGUUCAAGCACCUCUUCUUCCAGAGAGGAAAAAAAAAAUCUGAAAUGAAAUCUAAAAUGGAAUGAUAGCAAUGGCAGACUUCUCACUAGAAAUGCUAGAAGCAAAAAUGCAGUGGAAUUGUACGCACACAACUGGGGAGGGUGGGGAAGAUAUUGAACUGGAAUUGUAUACUCAGGAAAAUUAUGAUUUGAUUGUGUAUAUGAAAAAGAAUCAUCUCUGACAUAACAGAUUCAAAUAGUUUAUCAUUUGCUGGCUCCCUCUAUAAAAAUCACUAGAGGUCAACUUUCGUACACCAUUCACAAAAGUAAACUCAAAAUGGAUGAAGGACCCGAAUGUGAGACAGGAAACCAUCAAAACCUUAGAGGAGAAAGCAGGAAAAAAACCUCUUUGACCUCAGCCACAGCAAUUUCAUACUCGACACAUCUCCAAAGGCAAGGGAAUUAAAAGCAAAAAUGAACUAUUGGGACCCCAUCAAGAUAAAAAGCUUCUGCACUGCAAAGGAAACAAUCAACAAAACUAAAAGGCAACAGACAGAAUGGGAAAAGAUAUUUGCAAAUGACAUGUUGGAUAAAGGGCUAGUAUCCAAAGAACUAGCCCUUUAAAGAACUAUAAAGAACUCACCAAACUCCACACCCCCAAAAACAAAUAAUCCAGUGAAGAAAUGGCCAGAAGACAUGAAUAGACAUUUUUUCUAAAGAAGACAUCCAGAUGGCCAACAGACAUAUGAAAAGAUGCUCAACGUCACUCCUCAUCAGGGAAAUAAAAAUCAAAACCGCACUGAGAUACCAUGUUAUCCCGGUCAGAGUGGCUAAAAUGAACAAAUCAGGAGACUAUAGAUGCUGGAGAGGAUGUGGAGAAAUGGGAACCCUCUUGCACUGUUGGUGGGAAUGCAAGCUGGUGCAGCCACUCUGGAAAACAGUGUGGAGUUUCCUCAAAAAAAUAAAAAUAGAUCUACUCUAUGACUCAGCAAUAGCACAGCUAGGAAUUUACCCAAGGGAUACAGAAGUACUGAUGCAUAGGGGAACUUGUACCCCAAUGUUUAUAACAGCACUCUCAACAAUAGCUAAAUUAUGGAAAGAGCCUAAAUGUCCACCAACUGACGAAUGGAUAAAGAAGAUGUGGUUUAUAUAUACAAUGGAAUACUACUUGGCAAUGAGAAAGAAUGAAAUCUGGCCAUUUGUAGUAAUGUGGAUGGAACUGGAAGAGCAGGGCAGUUUCAAUUAGUUUGCAUCUGGUUGAGGAAGAGGGAAUGUAUUUGUUCUCUCCACAGACAAUUGGCUAAAUAGAAACAACUCCCCAUCCAGAAGAUAAGAAGUUUAUGGCUGGAUUGAAAACCAGGCAUGUUUGCCUCUGAGGUCUGUGCUCCUUCCACUGGUGGAGUCAGGAAGACAUGGACUCUGAGCAUUGUUCAAUCCCUUACCAGGGCUGUGACUUGAGUGAAGUAGCCACAGAGUGGAUUGUUUCUGGCAAGAAGAGGACUGUGACUGGCUUCUCCAGCAACACAACUGGCUGCUUUCUGGACCAUCAUCUUUGACCAUUAUUGUGUACUGUGGGACAGCACAUUAAUUUGAAUAUGUUUUGAAACCAAGAAUCAUUAGACAGGUAGAAAUUCUAUUUGUGUGUAUCUGAGUAUAUAAAAUGAGUCGAAGAAAAGCAAUUUUUGGAUCAUCUGCUGAUUUGCAUUGUUUGGAAAUUGAUACGGAUCAUUGAGACUUCGAUGAAGUUAUGCUGACUACAUCCAGGUAGUCUGUGUUGUCAAGAAAUUCAUUGGUUUCCCCACUGAACUCUGUCCCCUGACAAGUGUUGGAGAUAUGAAGUGGUGAUGACCAUUUAUAAUGACUGUUUGGUUGUAGUCAUUGAGGCUGCUAGAAUCAAGCAGGACUGUUUUUAAAAAAUGAAACCCCUUUUGACCUCUGGAAAGCUCUAAUGAUAGCCCAGUACUGGAGUAAUGAGCAUUACCUACAAGUAUCCUUUGUAAAUUCUUGGAAUUAACAGAAA